CAAACGACUCUCGGCAACGGAUAUCUCGGCUCAUGCAUCGAUGAAGAACGUAGCAAAAUGCGAUACUUGGUGUGAAUUGCAGAAUCCCGUGAACCAUCGAGUUUUUGAACGCAAGUUGCGCCCGAAGCCKUUUGGCCAAGGGCACGUCUGCCUGGGCGUCACAC
rnacentral:rRNA from 1 species